CCGAGUUAUUCAACUCCCAAAACCCUGUGAACUUUACCAAUGUUGCUUCGGCGGAGUCGUCCCGGGUGCGCUCGAAAGGGCGUGUCCCGGAUCCAUGGCGCCCGCCGGGGGAUCUAUACUCUUGUUUUUAUAGUGGUAUCUUCUGAGUGGCAUAAGCAAAAUAAAUCA
rnacentral:misc_RNA from 1 species